rnacentral:rRNA from 1 species
AGCGAACGCUGGCGGCAGGCUUAACACAUGCAAGUCGAACGGACCCUUCGGGGUUAGUGGCGGACGGGUGAGUAACACGUGGGAACGUGCCUUUAGGUUCGGAACAACACAGGGAAACUUGUGCUAAUACCGAAUAAGCCCUUACGGGGAAAGAUUUAUCGCCGAAGGAUCGGCCCGCGUCUGAUUAGCUAGUUGGUGGGGUAAUGGCUCACCAAGGCUACGAUCAGUAGCUGGUCUGAGAGGANGAUCAGCUCAUUGGGACUGAGACACGGCCCAAACUCCUACGGGAGGCAGCAGUGGGGAAUAUUGGACAAUGGGCGCAAGCCUGAUCCAGCCAUGCCGCGUGAGUGAUGAAGGCCUUAGGGUUGUAAAGCUCUUUUGUCCGGGACGAUAAUGACGGUACCGGAAGAAUAAGCCCG